rnacentral:piRNA from 1 species
UGAAUGGUGACUAGAUUUCUGCAC